GGGCGUUUAGCUCAGUUGGUAGAGCGCUACCCUUACAAGGUAGAUGUCACAGGUUCGAGUCCUGUAAUGCCCACCA
rnacentral:tRNA from 1 species